GUAGGUGACGCGCCUUGACUUGCUGGGCGCUAGGCUAUGAAAAGUGAAAAUUCAAGAAAUUAACAAUACCGGCGGCGGAGUCAACAUAGCGGCAGCAGCAGGCACUUUGUUUGUGCAUUUGCUGCGAAAGAUGAAAGGCGCAUCAAGGAACUUCAGUUCAUAUUUGGUUCGGUUAAGCUCAAAUUUCAUCUUAAGACAAACGCGCGCCCGCACACUUAAAACUACGCUCCCCGCAAUGGGAAUGAGUGCUAGGUUGGCCGGUGGGGGGCAGUGCGAGCAACUCGCAGUCAUGGUUACACAACCAACAUUGGGCAAAAGGCAGAUGAAGACGCUGCCGGCAAAAGGAAGUCCAAUGAAAUUAUUGUAGAAAUGUUGACGUAUGGAAUGCUGGCUGGGAGGUGAAAUACGAGCAGCAGCAGCAAAGAAAGCAGAAUUCCGCCAAGUAUCUUGUGAAGGAAAUGAGCAUGUUGAUGACGAAAAUCAUGGUAGCAGGUGGGUAUGGUCUGAGGCAGUGGCGCUAUUGCUGGGGAAAAUUAACGAAAAAUACUUUGGCAACAAUAUAAAUGAAUAUACCCAACAACGACAGGUUGACAACAACAACAACAGCACUAGUAUUUACAUAGCUACAACAACGAUAGCAACAACAACAACAACAGCAACUAUCCGCCCAUCAGCCAAAUGAAUGGGAGACAAAGAAUAAUUGCAGUCGCCAUGAACUUCGCGCUGCGCGAAAGAAGUCAUUACUAACUGGCGCUUGCUCUCAUCAAACAAAUAUACAAAGAGGUCUAAGAAAAUUAAGCAAAUCCACUGUACCGCCGGCAACGUUAAGAAUAAACUGUAAAAUUUUAAUUACACUAGCGACGAAAAUUUGAUGUACUAAACAUAUACAUGCCUACAAUGUAAAGAAGAAAUAUAAGGAGCGUCGAUGUGGAGACUAAGCAAACAAAUAAUUUGAAAAGAAAAAUAAAAGAAUACACAGAGCGCCAACAAACGGUAGCUAAGGUAAUUAAAAACAAUGACAGUUUACUGUUGACCAUUAGCCAGUAGAUAAGAAAAAAAUGAGAAAAACAUAAUAGAA